rnacentral:rRNA from 1 species
GACGGAGGGUGCUAGCGUUGUUCGGAAUCACUGGGCGUAAAGCGCACGUAGGCGGAUCUUUAAGUCAGGGGUGAAAUCCCGAGGCUCAACCUCGGAACUGCCUUUGAUACUGGGGAUCUCGAGUCCGGGAGAGGUGAGUGGAACUGCGAGUGUAGAGGUGAAAUUCGUAGAUAUUCGCAAGAACACCAGUGGCGAAGGCGGCUCACUGGCCCGAUACUGACGCUGAGGCACGAAAGCGUGGGGAGCAAACAGG